CUAGAGAUAAUGUUGACAAAAUCCUUCAUUCUCAACAGGUUGCAGAUGAGCCAGCAGGGAGUUUGAACAAAGUGAUUCAUGGUUUGCAAAGUCACAGCAAACUACGGAGAGCUUGUGAGGUGCUCCAGAAACUGACGGCCUUUAUGCCAGAAUUUUCUAAGUCAGCUCAAGUAGAAAAUAUGCUGGAAAUGGCCUUGCUGGCCCUUGGGAAGAUCAAGGAAACAUUUCUACAGCAGAACCAGUUUUCUGAGUCUUUAGUGACUUUGACCUCUAUCAUUGCUUCUCUGAUGCUGAGCAGGUAACAGAGGAGGAGGGGGAGAGUGGUUCAUUUUAGGUU
rnacentral:lncRNA from 1 species